AUGACAAUUAAAUUGUUCAAUCACUGACACUUCUACCUCCAGCCAGUAGAGGGUGCUGUUAAAACAGGCCUGAGUUUACACAUUGAAAAAGUCUUGGGUGAAGUGUUUAGUGCUACAAAAGGAAAGGACUUUGGAGUGCUCUCUGUAAAAAACGAACUCAAAGGCAGUCAAAAAGGUUUUUCCCACUUUUAGCUCCUGGCUGAUGAAGGGCACAAGCUCUUACGAUAAUUUAUUUUGAAGAUUAAACACUUUAUAAACAUCAGUCCCUGAGAGUAAAGUGCAUCUGUUCAGCUGGGAAUGCUACAGGUACCUUCAUGGAUCAGAUGUUUACCCCUGAUGAAGGCACAAUAUUGUAUCUGCAGGUUUUAAAACCAAAGGGACAUUUUGGUUUCCCAUGAUACAAAUCAUGUCCUUAAAGGUACAAACUGCAAUGGUAUAAAUUUGUUUCUUUGUCUUAAGGUACAAUUCUGUUCCAUAAAAAGGUUUUGCCACAGUGACAAAGGGUGUACCUUCUUUGGUACAACAUUGUUCCUUUUUUCUGAGAGUGUAUUAGGCCUAGAGACUUCUUCUGUUUUGUGAUUUUAACAUGUAGGCUAUGGUGUAUAUGUUGGUGUAUGAAAAAUUUAUUUUAAAGAUAUUUUAGAACAUUAAAAGUAAUGUAAUCAGGGUUGUUUGAGUAAAAUUCUUAUGCAAAGAA